CAGGGCAGGGCAGGGCAGGGAAGGGAAGGGAAGGGAAGGGAAGGGCGGCCGGGCCGGAGCCGCGCCUCGCCAGCCGGGUGCAGCCGCCGCGCGCCGAGCGAGCGCCACGAUGGGGCUGGAGACCGAGAAGGCGGACGUCCAGCUCUUCAUGGACGAGGACGCCUACAGCCACCACAGCGGCCUCGACGACGCCCACCCUGCCAAGUGCGCGGACUCGGACCCGGAUCGGGAUCCAAACCAGCUCAACGAGCAUCUCAAGCUGGACUUCCAGGAUGUGAUCGCAGAGCCCGAGUCCACGCACUCCUUUGACAACGUGUGGAUCUGCAGCCAUGCCCUCUUCGAGGUCAGCAAAUUCGUGGUUUACAAGUUCCUGACCCUGUUCCUGGCGAUCCCCCUGGCCUUUGCCGCGGGGAUUCUCUUUGCCACCCUCAGCUGUCUGCACAUCUGGAUUAUAAUGCCUUUUGUAAAGACCUGCCUAAUGGUCCAGCCUUCGGUGCAGACAAUAUGGAGGAGCGUGACAGACCUUGUCAUUGCCCCAUUGUGUGUGAGCGCAGGGCGCCUCCUCUCUUCUGUCAGCGUGCAGCUGAGCCGCGACUGAACACGUGGUCCCAGAAAUCUCAUUAUUCCAAAAUGAUAACUUACACAAAUGAUGUCUAUGAUGUUUCUCUACCAAGAUCACUGCUAUACUGCCAUGACCAUUACUAUUUUCAACUUUUGCCCAGCUAGUUGCUACAGCCUGUUAACUGGCCUCACUCCUAACCUUCACUAUGACCUUCUCCAAUCCAUCUUCCCCUCAAAACAAAGUGAUCCCAUCAAGACUUCCUGCUCAAAACUAUCAAUUGCAUGUGCUUGCCCUUACAAUAUACUCCAGACUCUUGAACAAUGUAUGCAAGGCUUUCACUAUUGCCCCGCUGUCACCUGCAGCGACUCCCUUCUGCAGCCCUCACUGAAGUGCCCAGCUCUUUCCUGCCCCCAUGCCAGGAUCACCCUUCUCCUCCUGGCAGUCUAACCCCUCUGUUUCUGAAACUCCUCCGCAUUCAGUGCCUCCUCUGUGUCUUCAUAUAAAAUCUUGUACAAACUCCGAUGAUCACUUACCACCCAGUAAAACUAACCCUUGUUGACUAACCCUACUUGAUUACUAGUUAGAUUUAAAAGCAUGACUUCAUCUUUGUUUCCCGCGAUUCUGAAAUGGUGCCCAACAGUUAGUGACCUCAAUCAAUAUUUUUGAAUGAAUGACUAUGUGAAUAAAUAAUUAAAGAAAACUUGGGAUGAUUUCAGAGCUAGGGUGGAAGUCAUGUUUUGACUUCAAAAAUUUCUUCAUUUGCAAGAGGGGUUUGAAAUGUACUAAUUCUAGUAAUUACUCCCAAUUCUCUUAUCUGAAAUUUAUUUCACAUCUUUAGGGAUAUAAAACACUAACACUUAGAAACUAGUUUGGAAGCGUAGUUCUAGCAUUUUAGAAUGUUGCUAUUUCUUUAAUUAUCCUAUCUCCCAUUUUCAAAUUUAUACUACUAAAGCAUUGUAUUUAUAGCAUUCUACACUUUAGAAAACACAGGCCCAUACAUUGUCUCAUUUAAAUCCAGACCAAAUUAAAUAGCAUAGCAGAGAAAUCAAAUAAACAAUAGCUCUAGCCCUAACCGGUUUGGCUCAGAGGAUAGAGCAUCAGCCCAAAGAAUGAAGGGUCCUGGGUUUGAUUCUGGUCAAGGGCAUGUACCUUGGUUGUGGGCUCGAUCCCCAGUA